rnacentral:misc_RNA from 1 species
AACGCACGAGACCUGCGGACCUGCGGAAGGAUCAUCGAAGAAUUAUUAUUUCCAAUUAUAAAAAAGGGGAGAGGAAAAAGGGGGGGAGGAACUCUCUCUAUAAGAGGCCUUCUCACUCUCUUUCUUUCUCCUUUUUUAUAAACAAACAAACAAACAAUCGCAACUAUAACUAUAAAAAGGAUAAUUUGGUUUGGUUUGAAUGAAUGAAUGAAUGGUUUGAAUGAAUUUUUGUUUGUGAAG